AGUCGNGCGGNNGACGGGNGCUUGCUCCUUGNNNNNNGGCGGANGGGUGAGUAAUGCCUAGGAAUCUGCCUGGUAGUGGGGGACAACGUUUCGAAAGGAACGCUAAUACCGCAUACGUCCUACGGGAGAAAGCAGGGGACCUUCGGGCCUUGCGCUAUCAGAUGAGCCUAGGUCGGAUUAGCUAGUAGGUGAGGUAAUGGCUCACCUAGGCGACGAUCCGUAACUGGUCUGAGAGGAUGAUCAGUCACACUGGAACUGAGACACGGUCCAGACUCCUACGGGAGGCAGCAGUGGGGAAUAUUGGACAAUGGGCGAAAGCCUGAUCCAGCCAUGCCGCGUGUGUGAAGAAGGUCUUCGGAUUGUAAAGCACUUUAAGUUGGGAGGAAGGGCAGUAAGCUAAUACCUUGCUGUUUUGACGUUACCGACAGAAUAAGCACCGGCUAACUCUGUGCCAGCAGCCGCGGUAAUACAGAGGGUGCAAGCGUUAAUCGGAAUUACUGGGCGUAAAGCGCGCGUAGGUGGUUCGUUAAGUUGGAUGUGAAAGCCCCGGGCUCAACCUGGGAACUGCAUCCAAAACUGGCGAGCUAGAGUAUGGUAGAGGGUGGUGGAAUUUCCUGUGUAGCGGUGAAAUGCGUAGAUAUAGGAAGGAACACCAGUGGCGAAGGCGACCACCUGGACUGAUACUGACACUGAGGUGCGAAAGCGUGGGGAGCAAACAGGAUUAGAUACNCUGGUAGUCCACGCCGUAAACGAUGUCAACNNUNAGCCGUUGGANUCCUUGAGNUUUUAGUGGCGCANCUNACGCAUUAANUUGANCGNCNGGGGAGUNCGGNNGNAAGGUUAAAACUNAAAUNAANUGACGGGGGCCCNNNCANGCGGUGGAGNAUGUGGUUUAAUUC
rnacentral:rRNA from 1 species